rnacentral:tmRNA from 1 species
GGGGGCGAAUGGUUUCGACGGGGAUAUAGGAGGUUUAAGCUGCAUGCCGAGGCCCUAUCACCUCGUAAAAAAUGAUAGGGAAAAAGAAAUGCCAACUAUGACUAUGCCCUAGCUGCUUAAAAUAGCAGCUACGUCUGAGAAGUCCUGGCCUGCAAGGCUCCUCAGGCGUCGGUUUAGCAGGCUAGCUGCUUAUGAGCGCCUACUAUAUAAGCAGCGAAACAGAAUGUAGGCUGGCCCUUACUACUUCCUUUCUGGGAGAAGGGUAAGGGUGAGAAUUAUAUCCCAGAAUAAGCAUGUAGAGGCUUAAACCGAGUAUUUCCGGACGCGGGUUCAAUUCCCGCCGCCUCCACCA